rnacentral:sRNA from 1 species
GCCGGGAGCGAUGGCACACCCCUGUAAUCCCAGCAGCUUGGGAGGCUGAGGCAGGAGGAUCGAGAGUUCAGAGCCAGCCUGGACAAUGGUGAGGCACUAAGCAACUCAGUGAGACCCUGUCUCUA